UCUCAUUCUUAUAAUUAGGGUUUUAUUAUCUCUCCUCUAGUCCUUAGCCGUUAUCCUGCCCUCUUUCCUCUCUCCUCUCUCAUUUCACGCAUUCACUCAAUCUUUCUCUUCUCCUCAAGUCCUAACUCAAUCUCCUCCAUUUUUAUAUUUAUAUGAACAACGGAACAAGCUCAGGAUUCUGAACAUCAAAAUCCGGCGAUCAUUCGUCGAAUCUCUACAAAGUAGUGGAAUUUGGGGGCAUUUUCAAAUUUUUCCAGAAAUUCAACUCAAUUUUCUCACUCGCUAGAUGGGGUCCACUUCUUGAGCAAGCCACUUACAAGAAUCGGCAACGUCUUUAUCUCUCUGAACAGGCAAUAUCAUCCUAAUGAUUUAUCUUUUCAUUUAAUUUUGUUGUUAAGUUCUAUCAUCUUUUUACUAAAUGAUGAUCCUCCUUAUCUUUAUUUUCAGAGUGAUGGGAGUGUUCCUAAUACACUUGUUAUUGCAAACGUUGAAGUUGUUAAGCCUAGAGUUGCUGCUGCAGAGCAUAUAUCUCAAUUUAAUGAAGAGGCUUGCUCUCCGUUUGUAAAGAAGCUCAAAACCAUCAUACAUCCUGGGGAGGUUAUCGAUGUUCUUCACCUGGGUCGCACUAAUGUUUCCAAAGUUUGAUCUUCUUUUCUCGAUUGUUUAUCCCCUUUGAAUUUGAGAAAGUUGUCGAGUUUCCUGUCACUUACAAGAAGCAUCCGCAUUUAGGAUGGGAUGCUAAGAGGUUGAUUGGAAGGAGAUUUAGUGAUGCAUCAGUUCAGGCUGACAUGAAGUUGUGGCCAUUUAAGGUUACACCCGGAUCAAGGGAGAAGCCCAUGAUUUUUGUAAGCUACAAUGGCAAGGACAAGCAGUUCGCUGCUGAGGAAAUAUCCUCCAUGGUCCUUACCAAGAUGAAGGAGAUUUCCGAGGCUUACCUUGGUUCAACUGUGAAGAACGCUGUUGUUACUAUCCCUGCCUACUUCAAUGACUCUCAGCGUCAGGCAACCAAGGGAGGUAUGCUUACGGUCUUGACAAAAAUGCCACCAGUGUCGGUGAGAAUAAUGUGCUCAACUUUGAUCAUGGAGGUGGUACUUUUGAUGUGUCUCUUAUUUCAUAAUAUAUAAGCGGUACAAUAUUAUUGUCUAAUUUUAUAGUUCAUUUCUUACAUCGAUCUUUUGAUAAAUCUAUUUUGUUACUUAGUAGCUGAUGGUCUAUGUUCAUGCUGAGAAUGAGUUUAACGUUAAAAGUUUAUCUGCAAUGCAUCCGGAAUAGUUGUUGCUCCGUCUUCGCCAUCCUAAAUUUGGUAAUAUUCAGAAAUAUAGUUUAGUGCAAUCCUAUCUUGUGUUAUUGAAACAAGACUCUAUGAUCAUUACAUUUCAGAGCUGACUUUAUCUUAUUAUAAUCAUUAUUCCUUCUAGAAGCUGCUGUGAUUAUGUGUGAUUUCUUUUUUAUUUUACCAUUGUUGUUGUUGGUGAUAUACCAUGAUUGUUAAGUCUUUUUCACAGUAAGGCUUGUUAUUUUUUAUAUGCUCCAUGCUCCUCUUGCUAUUAUCUUGGAGAUUCUCUACUUCUUUAACUUUUGAAGUAUUUUUUCAACACAGUACAGUAAUUUUAUUGGUUUAUCAGUUGGGGUUUUGGGGUCACUUUGAUGGAAAUGUGGUAUUAUGUAUUUCAAGAUAAUAUGGGUUUGGGUAAAUAUUAUCUAACCUUUUUUUUUUAAUGUGAUAAUAUUAUCUAAUUCAAUUUUUGGAUAUUUUUUUGUGUAUCUUUUCUACUAUCAUUCUGAUUAUCAUAAUCUAAACAUGCUUGUAGCUCCCUUUUGGAAAAUCCAUGGCAUAAUUCAGCAUUUGAAUAUUCUGGCUUCAUCAAACUUUUUCUUUCUACUAAUUUAGAUGCACUAAGGGAUUUAACAUGCUUUACUAAUGACAGAAACGUUGAUGUAGAUGAGUAUGACAAGUACUCAUAUGCUAAACAAAAAGAAGGGGGCAGCUUUUCAAUGAACCUAAGUUACAACACUUGUUUUCUAGACAUUAUUCAGACACUAUCGAUCACCAAGGAUACAUACAGCAAGGACCUGGAGUCUGAGUGUGCUGCUUGGAAUACAGAAGAUCUGCAUGCUUUGGGCGAUGAAGUUUUUUGGUUUCUGUUGCUCUUGAUUGCUGCUGUUACUACUGGCAUGCUGCUGUUACUACUGGCCUGCUGUUGUUUAUGCUUAUAAUGUAUUUCAUUACUAAAUUUUAUAAUCAAUAGCGUUUUAGACUUCUCAAUAGUUUAGUUUAUAAUUAGCAUACAAAAUUGGAUUUGGUGUAUAUGUUAUGUUUGAUAAUGUUUGUGGCAUGAAA